CAUCUAGACCCGUAACGCCCACUUCAGAAUGGGAGGGAGGAUGUCUGCUGCCCUGUCGUCUCCACACCCGAGGAAUGUCCGUGUGUGUGGUGUGCACAGCGGGCUGCACACAGCGGGCUCCACGGUGCUCGAAUGGAGGCCCUAAUGUGAAUGGAGACUAGCCUGCUGGUAGAGACCUUGGCAGUGACCGCUGUGGGCAAUGAGCCAUGGGCCAACAAUAUUCAAUGCUGUGUACCUGAUGGAUGGUUACUGUCUGAGACUGAGGUUUUUUGGGCCAGGAGUAAAAGGACUUGGUUUGUACUUGAUUGCAUCCUGUGGAUGCUUGCCUACCAACUGACUCAUCCCGACGUGCCAAAGGUCCUGGCUUUCCCCUGUGUGGGUAAGGGAAGACGAGAGUUCUAA
rnacentral:lncRNA from 1 species